GAGGGUAUAGCUCAGUGGUAGAGCGUGUGCUUAGCAUGCAUGAGGUCCUGGGUUCAAUCCCCAGUGCCUCCA
rnacentral:tRNA from 1 species